rnacentral:rRNA from 1 species
CAGCAGCCACGGUAAGACGAACCGUGCGAACGUUAUUCGGAAUCACUGGGCUUAAAGCGCGUGUAGGCGGCCCGGCACGUCCCUCGCUGAAAGCCCCCGGCUCAACCGGGGAAGGGGCGGGGAUACGACCGGGCUGGAGGGGGGUAGGGGGAGCCGGAACUCACGGUGGAGCGGUGAAAUGCGUUGAGAUCGUGAGGAACGCCCGUGGCGAAAGCGGGCUCCUGGGCCCCACCUGACGCUGAGACGCGAAAGCCAGGGGAGCGAACGGGAUUAGAUACCCGAGUAGUCCCUGUCUCUUAUA